CCCAGGGUGGCUCAGUGGUUGAGCAUCUGACUUCGGCUCAGGUCGUGGUCCAGGGAUCCUGGGA
rnacentral:tRNA from 1 species